CAAUACUUGGCCCUGUGAGUGUCUGAGUGAGCUUAUGUGUGUGUGUGUGUGUGUGUGUGUGUCCAUCUUUGGAUUCACACACAAGGAGUCCUUUGGAUGGUGGGUUUGGGGCAUCAAGGACACCGGCAGAGAGGGGGCUCUGGAGUCCCUUCUGGGGGGUGACAGGAGCAAUAAUAGCCUGGCCUGUUGUGCAGAACCACAGCUGUGUGCCUACACAGGGAAUGUUUGCAAGGCGUUCUGUUUUAUUCUUUGCUGCAGGUCUCAGAAUGUCCACUGAGGAGGGAACGCUUUGAACUGGGCAUCAAGCUCUGGGCCCGAUUCCAAGUCAGCUCUAAAAACAGUCGGAGCUACCCCGGGUCCUCUACUUGCCGGGCGGAAAGGCUGAGAGAGUGGCUCCUCACGUCUGCGUGGUCCCCCAUGUCGUCUGCACGGCCCUGCUCUCAGCCAAGGCACCCACGAGGCAAGGCGCUUUUCUGAUGGCAGGACAUCCUCUCCCCACCCAGACCCCCAGCGAUUUCUCACCAGAGAGACAAAGCAUCUUUAUUUUAAAAGCUCCACGUAGCAUGUCCAGAAAUUUCUCCUGCUAUUAAGGAGGGGGUAGGGUGGGGAAAGGGCCGAUGAAGCUACUUACUUAAUGGCUCCUAACAGCUGUGGAAAGUUUGAUGCAGCAGGAGCACCCAGACAGAAAAUUAAAAAACUAAUAAAGUCCUCAGUGUGGGGGCACUGGCAUCAGGACAGCUUUACUUCUCCAGACACCUAAUAAAGAGACAUUCCGGGACACUCACUCAUAAGGGGAGUCUGCAGGGGUCACAGAGAACAGUGGAAAGCGAGCCAUGGAAACAUAGCAGUCACUCACAUCGCCGCGGGGAAGGUGUAACAGUGGGAAGUAUGCUGGCUUGGAAUCAGACCACGCUUUGAAUUUGAGCUGUGUCGUUCAUCAGAUGAAUGACUUCACAGAAGUCAACUUAACCCUUCUCAUACUCAGUUUUUUCAUCUGUGAAAAUGGCGUUUGUUCAGAUAAAGUUAGAAGAGACAGGUGAAGGCUUCAAGGACAUUGCCCACCUUUGUGCCAGAAGAUGUAUGAUGAUGGGUCAAAAGCAGUCAAGAUGUAUGAUGGUGGGUCAAAAGCAAUCAUGGUCAUCUCGGCUCCCUUCGCCACUCAUCAACCUGAAGAUGGGCAAGUGCCCCACAGUGUCUAAAGAGAUGUGAGAAUGGAUUGGCUGAGAAAGACUCACAGGGAGAAGAGCUUGUGCCCCUUGCCCAUUCUUCCUGAAUGUGUACCUAUCGCUGAAGUUACAGUAGUCAUCUUGUGAGCAAGAGAAGACGAACAUGAGGAGGACCAACAUGGCAGAUGUUAAGACAGAAAUACAGAAAGAACCUGGAUCUCCUAAGGCGUCACUGAGUGAGCCCUUUGAGUUGCCUACCUUGACUUGUUCUUACGUGAGAAAAAUCCACUCUUCUUUUUUGAAACCCCUGUAAUCCAUUUGUUGUUACUUGCAGCCAAACACACUCAUGAUUGAUACGACCUAUUGCAGUUCUGUGAUUUGGGUAACGUUGACCCCAUGUCAUAGAUGAAGACAGCAAGGCUCGGAAAAAAGAAGUUGACAUAUAGUGGUAGAGCUUAGAUUCCAACUCAAGUUCCCUGAUUGUAAGCCCUUGGCAUUCUCCAGUGACCUAUAGCCUAACCAUUCUUAUUAUUCCUUCCUACCAAAAUAUGUAUUAUUCUGUUUUCCCUUAUAUUAAGGAAGAAGGACUUGAGAAGUCCCAUCUGUCCUGAGCUUUACUUGUACCUCUGUUGUCAGCCAGCUGACUUUCAUUUCCUAAUCAAGUAGUUAAUUCUACCCACAUUUACCUGUAUAUAUAAAUAAAACCUUUGGACUUUGAUAUA